GACGGAGGAUGCAAGUGUUAUCCGGAAUCACUGGGCGUAAAGCGUCUGUAGGUUGUUUAAAAAGUCUGCAGUUAAAGGUUGAAGCUUAACUUCAAAAAUGCCGUAGAAACUUUUAAACUAGAGGAUGGUAGGGGUAGAGGGAAUUUCCAGUGGAGCGGUGAAAUGUGUAGAUAUUGGAAAGACCACCGAUGGCGAAGGCACUCUACUGGGCCAUGACUGACACUGAGGCACGAAAGCGUGGGGAGCAAACAGG
rnacentral:rRNA from 1 species